GACGUAGGGCGCGAGCGUUGUCCGGAUUUAUUGGGCGUAAAGAGCUCGUAGGCGGCUUGUCGCGUCGACCGUGAAAACUUGGGGCUCAACCCCAAGCCUGCGGUCGAUACGGGCAUCACUAGAGUUCGGCAGGGGAGACUGGAAUUCCUGGUGUAGCGGUGAAAUGCGCAGAUAUCAGGAGGAACACCGGUGGCGAAGGCGGGUCUCUGGGCCGAUACUGACGCUGAGGAGCGAAAGCAUGGGUAGCGAACAGG
rnacentral:rRNA from 1 species